rnacentral:lncRNA from 1 species
CCCACCCUCUGCGCAGCGGCACAAGUCCUUGUGGCACAGCUUGCUCAGCAUCCCGUCCUCCUUCUCCGGGUGGUAGAACUGGGUGCAGGUCUCAUCUGAGCGCAGAGGAGAUGGGGAGGCAUCAGGGCACCAGGCCUCCAUCCCAGAGAGCACGCCCCGGGCUCAGGUUCCCAAUGCUCCUGCACCUCAGACCUGGAGGUGCCAGGUCCCUGACCCUCAGAACUUUACUGUCUGAUCUUUGGGACCCUCCAACCCUGGGGUCUUCAAAUCUGCAACUUGCAAAUCCUUGAGACACCCCCCCCCAUUCUCAGAUCCUUAGGACUCUCAACUCUCAGACCCCAGGACCUGUAUCCUAGCACCUCUGACCCCAGCCCACAGAUCCCUGGAGCCCUCAGACCCCCAACUUGCAAAUCCUUAAGACCCUCAGUCCUCCAACUCUUAAGCCUAUCAGAGUCUUGGACCCCAACCCUCAUAUUGCUGAAAUUCUCCGACCCUCAGCUCCCAGAUCCCUGGGACCCUCAGAACCUCAACAAACAGAACCUAGGGAGCCUCAGAAACCCUAAUUUUCUGGGGCCUUCAGACCUUUGAGACUGUUCCACCCCCAACUCACCCAGGACCCACAACCCCUGGGGCACUUAGGCCCCGGGCCCAGCUCGCCUGCUCACCGAGGUUGUAGUAGGAGUAGACUUUGACAGAGCCAGGCUGGAUGAGCCCCACAUUGAAGAACUGGUGGAUUUUGAAGGACAGACAUUCUUCCUCGGAGUGCGAGAGCUAAGGGAAGAAGAGGCCAGUCAACGGGAGACACAAAGGGAGUCUGGGACAGGAUAUUGGCAGCUGGGGCCGUGGUGGAGAAAUCAAAGGACCAAGGAAGGUUAUGUGUCCAGGGGAGAAGAGGAAGGGCCAGAGGGGAAUGGACAGCUUGGCAAAUCUGUUUUCAUUUUUUUUCUUAGCCACACAGCUGGGCUACAUUGCUCAUCCCCGCUUUCAGUUAGGUGUGGCCAGCGACUGGGCUCUGCCCAGCAGGUUUCCAGGCUGCGCCUGCUCCGGUUUGAAUGUGGUUUGUUCCCCACCCAAGCUCAUGGUGAAGCCUCGUUCCCCUUGAUACACUGAUACACUGAGGGAUAUUAUCAGGCCACGUGGGAAUGGAUCAGAUCUCGAGAAACUAGAUCAGUUACUAUGACAGCACAUUGUCAAAAAGCAAGUGUGGCUUUCUGGGCUCACUCUCCUUAGCUCCCACCAUGUGACCUUUCUUCUGCACUUGCCUCCAGCACGAUGCCAGCAGGCCUUUAUCAGGGGAUGAACAGUUGAGGGCCACCAGAUCUUGGACUUUGAUCCUCUGAAACUGUGAGCUAAGUAAACCUCUUUUUUUAAUAAAUUACCCAGCCUCGGGUAUUGUUGGUACAGCAACACAAAACAGACUAAGACAAUGUCUAUGAAAACAUCAUGUGCACAAGCAGGCAUGGUGAUGCAUUCCUGUCAGCCCAGCUACUCAGGAACCUGAGACAGGAAGAUCACAAGUUUGGGGGUAACCUGGGCAACUUAGUGAGAUCCUGUGUCGAAAUAAAAAUUUAAAAAGACUGGGGAUGUAGCUCAGCUAGCAUGUUCAAGGCCCUGGAUUCAAUCCCUAGCACUGAAAACAAAAAUCCCAUGCACAAUCCUCCCCCCACCUCUCUCUCAUUCUGCAGAGGACUCCCAAGACCCUAGGCAUACACAGACACAAGAUGGGAGGUCCUUGGGUCACAGAGUGACUGCAUGGGUCGGAAGGCCUAUUCCUUAGCCCCCAUACUUAUGGACUUUAUUUUUAUUUUUUUGAGAUGGGGUCUUGCUAUAUUGCCCUGGUUGGCCUUAAAGUCCUAAACUCAGCAAUUUUCCUGCCUCCGCCUCCUGCAUACCUGGGAUGACAGCCAUGUGCCACUGUGCCUGGUUCUGAUUGGACUCCACACAAGUGAGAAAUACAAGCAUCUUGAGCCACCGGUGAGGUUGGUCAGGGUUGAGAUGUUUAUAAAAGGUGGUCCUGGGUCCAUACCUUUGUUUACAAUUGCUUUCUCCACCCACCCAAUGACACAGACCUUGUCCCCAAAUAACCUGACCUGGAGGCAGAGAGCCAGGGAGAGGAGAAGGCCAGCCAGGUAAGAGCCAAGAUGCCCACAGGAGUCCCCCAGGGGAGGAUGCUGCCUCACCUUGUCCAGGUAGAUGAUGAGGGUGUUCUUGUUGGCGAAGGCUUUGUCCAGCUCAUACUUGGAGAUGUAUCUGUCCACGCCGGUGGACAGCUGGGGAGGGGUGGGUGAAAAUCUCUUCUAGAACCCUUCUCUCCCCAUAGCCUCCUCCAGACCUCAGGCUCCUCCCCAGUGGCCCAGCCCCUCAAGCCGCUCCUACCAGCUUGAGGUCAUCUGUGUCAGGAACGAAGCCGGUCAUCAUGGCUAUGUCCAGGAUGGACAUUGUGGCAUCCUGGUCUCCUAGGUACCUAGAUAGGGGCAGGGAGAAGCACGUUGAGUCCCAGCGUAGGGGCAGCCCUCAGGGUCUGUCCCUGAAUGAGAGGUUCUGACCAGAGAUCAAAGCUUUUGAUUCCUCUCCAGCACCUAAAUGGAUGUUCAAGUUUAGGAAACACUUCUCCAAGGGCAAAAGACGGAAAUGUAGUUUAAUGGUCAAGGUCAUGAGGGUUUCAGGCUCUGGAUCCAAGCGCACGGGUUGAAAUCCCAGCUUUCUAUAAAAUCUGAUGAGCUCUUCAGUCCCCUCUGUGCCUCAGUUCUUCUAUGAAAUACAAACAAGAAUAUGAGCAGUCCUCAUUUUGGAAAAGCCAGCUUCUAUGACUUCAUGAAAUAACACUGGCUCCCCAAUGAAAGAGUUCAAAUUUGAGCAUCAGUGUAGAUGCUAUGGCUUGGAUCUAAUAUGUCCUUAAACCUCAUAUGCUUAGGUGUUGGUCCCUGGUGUCCAAAAGGGAAGCCUCUGGGAAAUAACAGGAUCGUGAGGGCUCUAACUUCAUCAGUGGAUUAAUGGAUUAAUCCAGGGGCAUGGCUUUUACUAGUAUAUUUUGUCCCCAGCCCUUUCUUUGCUGGCUCUCUGCCAUCUCUAUGUUUCCAGGCCGCCAUGAGGUGAGCAGUUUUCCUCCGCCAUGCCCCUCUGCCAGGAUGGAAGCCCAAAGACCUGGACCAAGACAGAAAGAUGGAAAAGGAUAUCCCUGAGUCCUGAUCCAGAAAGACAUUAGAAUACAGGUGGAGACGAGGGGACAGAAAGGGCUCUGAGCAUGUGUGAGGUCCUGAGUCCCAUCCCCAGCACCUCUGGAAAACGGGGACUCUUACUAAAGGUAGAGAUGAACCCAGUGACCCAGCUUCUUACUUAGCGCAGAUCCCAAGGAUCAUGGUGCUCUUGGCAUCCUGAGGCUUCUUGACUAGAAACACAGAAGACAGAAAGAUGAGGGAGGGCAUUCCUAGGUCCUAAUCCAGAAGGACGUUAGAAUAGAGAUGGAGGAGAGAGGACAGAAGGGACCUAUAUUUCUCUUACCUGUAUCAGGGGCUGGACUGACUGUGACCCUGAGGUCAAACUUCUUGCAGGUGACUUUGCCUUUGACUUUGGCGUGGUACAUCGUCACCACCUAGAGAGAUGGGGGGUAGACAGAGCCUCAUAGGUCUUGAGAAGGCCAAGGGCAGGGAGGAGAGGGUCCCUGGCGGGGACAGGGGCCAAGGGAAGUCUGCCAUUCCUUACCGACAACGUGCCUUGACCUUUCCCUUUAGCUGUUAAUGUGAAACCCUCGUUUUGCUUGGUCUGCAGAGACUCUUCUGACCGGAGGAGGCCGCCUAUGUCCCAGAGGAGGCGAUGCUUGACCAGGGAGCUGCGGCUGGGCAGCUGCAGGGCCACCUCCAUGUUCAGGUCCUUGUGGUCAGGAAUGUCUGUUUGGUAUUGGGCCAAGGCUUGGAACACCAUGAAGGUGGCCUGGAAUCCAUGAGAGAAGGAGGGUGAGGUAUCAGCUUGAGAGACUGGUUAGGACCCAAUGGGGGGUGGAGAUUCGGGCCAGAGUUAGGGCAAUGAGACUAUGCCUUGAAGCCAUCAUAGGGGUGACGUGGGGAAGUGCUGGAUACUAAGCAUUUGUCCUGGAACUCUGUGACAGAGAGAGGCUCGGACUCCCGACAGUAAGUCUGUGGCCAAGAACCCAAUGAGUAUGAAGGUGAGACUCAAGGUCCUUAGACAUCGAGGACAUGUUCUAGAACCCUCCAAGGUACAGAGGCUUAGACAAGAACUUGGAGAUGCUGAGAGCAUAGCUAGCACCCACCAGAAAAUCCACCUCUUAGACUGAAAGCCUAG